GAUGAACGCUGGCGGCGUGCUUAACACAUGCAAGUCGAACGAUGAAGCCCAGCUUGUUGGUUGGAUUAGUGGCGAACGGGUGAGUAACACGUGAGUAACCUGCCCUUAACUCUGGGAUAAGCCUGGGAAACUGGGUCUAAUACCGGACAGGAGCGUGUACCGCAAGGAGGGUGGUGGAAAGAUUUAUCGGUUUUGGAUGGAUUGGCGGCCUAUCAGCUUGUUAGUGAGGUAAUGGCCCACCAAGGCGACGACGGGUAGCCGGCCCGGGAGGGUGACCGGCGACCAUAGGCCUACGGGACGGAGCAGUGUCCAACGGGGGGCAGCGGUGGGAAGUCUUACGCAGUGGGGGCAAGCCUGUUGCGGCGGCGCCGCGUUAGGAAAGACGGCCUUCGGGUGGUAAACCUCUUUCAGUAGAGAAGAAGCGAAAGUGACGGUACCUGCAGAAGAAGCACCGGCUAACUCCGUG
rnacentral:rRNA from 1 species